AAUCGGUGAGUCUGUUUCCCGUUGACUUCCCAGCUCUGUUUGUUCUGAUGGGUCAGACGUGACGGUGUCAUUGCCAUCUCCGGCCUCACACCUGGUGGCCCCUGGUCUGCUCAAUAAGUAUUGAGUGAUGAUGACAUGUAUUCCAUGAACUGCCUCUGCAGACUGGGGUGGGGGCAAUGUGCCCGAGGACGUGUGAAUCACAGGACAAACACCUGCCGCUUUCCCAAAGAGUCGGUUUCGCAGUAAGGAAGUUUAAAUGAGCAUGUUCUUCAUGCCAGGCCCUGCUCUAGGCCUGGAGUACACAGCCAUGAUGUAGACAGAUGUGAUCCCUGCCUUUGUGGAGUUUAUAGUCUAGUACAACUGUCAGAAAAUCUAAUGCAUAAAAUCCCAGGCCGCAAGUGUUGUAGGUCUCAGGAGCCAAACAUUCCUACUGCCGCAACACCAACAGACACAGACAGACAGCGCAUGAACAAUGAUGUUUUAGUAAACACAGAAUUACAAGGCAGACAAAGGGGAAAGCAAAGACACAGCAAAUCUACGGUUAGCAGAGGAAGCAGGAAACGAGAAGACACUGGCCAAACCGUAUGAGGCUGUGCUGUUGCAGGAUGAACGAGCCUAGUGACUGAAAGUACAUCGUGAAGAUUAACGAAUGACACCAGAGUCCACACCCUGGACAUUUGCUGAGAAAACGGUCUUUGAUGUCUUCUUGUCACAUACCCAUCCAGUGAGAGGUGGGGUACGUUAGACUUCCUGGACUGGAGUAGACGCUUUACUGUGGAUAAUGUGUGCGAAAGCGUAACUACUCCAUCACACGCUUCCACGAUGGUCACAGGUCCAAAGGAAUGGGGUCACCCAGUUAUGGGGAAGAAACUCCAAACCUGGAGGUUGAAACGAACUUUUCCCUCUUCCUGAAUGAAUCACCCGGGGACAUUUUGUUGUAGUAACAGAAAGCUACCAUCCACGGGCAAGCUCAGCUUGUGAGUAUAACAAUGGUAGGACCCACGUGUAAGCUGGAAGAGUGACAAGCGGGGCCUGAGUCUAAGGUGAUUGUGCCAACCGGAGUAGUGGAGGCAGGGUCAGCAGCAGUAACAGCUGUGGGAGGGAGGAGGGCCUCCUCUGAGGGCAGCAUGGGGAACAUGGUGGACACAGCUUCUCUGCCCAUCCACGACUUUCCCUGUGGCAUCUAGACAAAUAGUAACUCUCCAGUCAACACCGGGACAGUGGCUGCUGAUGCCCAGGGAGAAAGUUCCUCAGUAAGUUAUUAAUAAAUUUAAUAAAGUUAAUUAAUAAAUAAGAACGUUCACAGGCACGUGCCAGUAAAGGAUACUAGGGGUGUGGUGGGUAACCCCAGGACUCACUGAGCAGAGGCAGGAGGAUUGUGAGUUUCCGGAUACUCUGAGCUACAUAAUGAGACUGUUGCCGUUAUUUUCAGCUGUUUAGAACCUCUGGUUUUGAGAACCGGUGGCGCAUUACAAGCCGCACUUCCACAGGCUUGGAAAUAGAAUUUAAAUAUGAAGAUCGUUCUGUCUGACACAAUGAAACACCAACUUCAUACAGAGUUUCCGAUGAACUGGCAGCUACUGGCUAAAUAUCCUUUGAAUUAAUUUCCCGGGUGCCUGAAGAUAUACGGCCACUAAGGACACAAAAAGACAUCCUAAAUUAUAUACAAACCAUGACGACCCCCAGUUACACACAUCUCAGGAUCUAUCAGAAAACGUAAUAAUUAAUACUGAAAUAUUUGAAGCUGACUGUAAAAAGAGCUAAAUCUUUCAUAAAAGUAGUCCUCCACAUGUUUUCACCACAAGGUUUACUAAAAUUCAUAUUUCAAGUCAUUUUUCAGAACUCUAUACCCUGACAUCAUCGGCCUAUGAAGUCAUGGCACCUGUUUCCAGGAACACCUGUCUUCAGGAACACCUGUCUCCAGGAACACCUGUCUCCAGGAACACCUGUCUCCAGGAACACCUGUUUCCAGGAACACCUGUAUUGGAUUUUAUUAUCAAAGUUAAAUUUAUCUGAAAGUAUUUGGUUUUCCCUUGGCCAACAGCAACUGGCAUUGCUUUCGAUGGCGUCAUUUGAAAAUGGAUUUGCUGAACGGGUGAUCGUCACCAUUUAAGUGAAUAGGCAAGAGAGCAAGCCUGAAACAGCUUAUGACUUGCCAGGUCAACGCAACAAUGUAGAGUAUUUGCUUAUUACACAAAAUUAUGACCUCAGAAUAUCUUUUCCAUUAAGAAUCUAUAGUUAUUUAAUGUUACUACACUUAUCAACUUUUGAUAGUAAAAAGCUUUUCAACGGCAAUGUUUACAGUCAGAAAAUGCCCAUUUCUCCUCUGUUUUUCUGAGCGAGAACCUGGGGUCUUGCGUUAGGCCUUGUAAUUGGUGUGGCUGUUGUGUGAGGAAUGAGGGCAGGUGGUCCUGGGGGAGUGGGAAGGUCUAACAUGAGGAGGAAACUGGAAGUGGGGCUGAGACGCAGGGCACUUGCUUAGCACGUGCAGGGCCCCGGGGUUGAGCUCCAG